AUACGUAGGGGGCGAGCGUUGUCCGGAAUGAUUGGGCGUAAAGGGCGCGUAGGCGGCUUUGCAAGUCAGUAGUGGAAGUCCAUUUUUCAAGGAUGGAAGUGCUACAGAAACUGCGGAGCUUGAGUGCAGGAGAGGUUAUCGGAAUUCCCGGUGUAGCGGUGAAAUGCGUAGAGAUCGGGAGGAACACCAGUGGCGAAGGCGGGUAACUGGACUGCAACUGACGCUGAGGCGCGAAAGUGUGGGGAGCAAACAGGAUUAGAUACCCUGGUAGUCCACACUGUAAACGAUGAAUGCUAGGUGUAGGAGGUAUCGACCCCUUCUGUGCCGCAGUAAACACAGUAAGCAUUCCGCCUGGGGAGUACGGUCGCAAGAUUAAAACUCAAAGGAAUUGACGGG
rnacentral:rRNA from 1 species